GCCUGGCUGGUUCAAUUGGUAGAGCAUGUGACUCUUGAUUAGGGGUUGUGGGUUUGAGCCCCAUGUUGGGUG
rnacentral:tRNA from 1 species